UAUGAGUAUUCGGAUGCAGAGAUCGGCUCGGGGUCCUGCGCUAACAGAUGACGUAUCGACACUUGACGUAUCGACACAAGCCAACGGACAAAACGUUAGUUAUGAUAUUAUAACUCUAGUUCUAUGAUUGAAGGCGUAGCCGUCUAGGCUUCGCCUUAUGGGCUUGUCCCAACUAUGCACAUCAAUCAUGCACACCAAUCAAUGUGGGCACCACCCACAUUCCCACGGCACCGUGUAGGCCUAUAUAAGGCGGCGCAAACCGCCGCCCAUUCUCAGUCAAUAGUAUCUGGCCGUUUCUGCAAUGGCAUACUACAUACUGCUCGUAUACUGAUCGUGACGUAAAAGUAUAUACAUCCAGAGCUCACUACGUCGGAUACUGUAUCCCAUAAUGCAACGCGGCACCGUUGGAAAAAAAAAACGUUGAACAUUUCGAAUAAUGGCGGCGGAAAAUGCGAGCGAUGAAUAUAAAUGGACUGAUGUAGACACCGCAGCUCUCAUCAGUUGGAGAGCUACGAAUGAGGGCAUGUUCACGGGCAGGAGGAAUGCGGCGCAGAAGGGGUUCGAAGAAUUUAUUAAGGUCCAGGGGCUAGAGGGGAAGAUGGAGGCAACCAAAAUUAAAAGGAAAUAGGAGAACCUCAAACAAAAAUAUAAGCAUGCUGCAUUUCAUUGUUGUCGGGGAGAUCCUGUGGAAAGUCUCCUGGCUCCACAAAGUCUCCAUUUGAUAGGCACAAGUUGUGGAGGAAGACACAGCAGGACACCACCACUGGGGCAAAGGUUGACUUUACCUAUGUGCAGAGAUGGGCAGUAUUUUAAAUUAGAUGUAUUUAAAAUAUGCAUUUAAUUACUUUUGAGUAUCUUAUUCAACAUAAGACAAAAAUAGAAACUAAUCUGUAACAGACAGAUAUUGCAUGCCAAGGAAAGCUACUGAAUAACAGUGAAAUACAAGCAUUUUCUCAUAUUGUCAUUUUAUGCUCAUUUAAAUUUCAUAAGCAUUUGCACAUUGACACACACACUUGUAUGUAUUAUGUUUUCUUUACCUCAAGGGCCUUCAGAAAGAUGGAUCUCCACCUGGUCUUCAUCAUCCCGAAGGCCCUCUCCACAACACACCUUGCCUUUGACAGGUGCUUGUUGUACCUGGCCUGCACGGGCCCUGUACUGGCUCC
ensembl:lncRNA